GCGGGAGUAGCUCAGUUGGUUAGAGCGCCGCCCUGUCACGGCGGAGGUCGCGGGUUCGAGUCCCGUCUCUCGCG
rnacentral:tRNA from 1 species